rnacentral:misc_RNA from 1 species
GAUGAAGAACGUAGCGAAAUGCGAUAAGUAAUGUGAAUUGCAGAAUUCAGUGAAUCAUCGAAUCUUUGAACGCACAUUGCGCCCGCCAGUAUUCUGGCGGGCAUGCCUGUUCGAGCGUCAUUUCAACCAUCAAGCUCUGCUUGCGUUGGGGAUCCGCGGCUGCCCGCGGUCCCUCAAAACCAGUGGCGGGCUCGCUAGUCACACCGAGCGUAGUAACUUUACAUCGCUAUGGUCGUGCGGCGGGUGCUUGCCGUAAAACCCCCCAAUUUUUAAGGUUGACCUCGGAUCAGGUAGGAAUACCCGCUGAACUUAAGCAUAUCAAUAAGCGGAGA